GCUUUCGUGGUGUAAUUGGCAGCACACUUGACUCGUAAUCCGAAGGUUCGGAGCACGAAUCCCGGCGAAGGCA
rnacentral:tRNA from 1 species